AUGACGCAUCGCAACAUUCCCAUCCAGUACCCGAUGCUCACCGACGCCAACUACGACGUGUGGGCGGUGAAGAUGGAGAUCAUUCUCCGAACCCUUCGAGUGUGGGAGGCCAUCACGGACGACGACGUCGACGAGGAGUGCGACGAAGGUGCCAUGGCCGCAAUAGCCCAGUCUGUGCCGGAUUCCGUGCUGAUGACAUUGGCGGAGUUCGAGACAGCAAGAGAGGCGUGGAACGCACUCAAAGCUAUGAGGAUUGGAUAA
rnacentral:rRNA from 1 species